rnacentral:rRNA from 1 species
UACGUAGGGGGCAAGCGUUGUCCGGAAUCAUUGGGCGUAAAGCGCACGUAGGCGGACUCUUAAGUCGGUGGUGAAAUCCUGGAGCUCAACUCCAGAACUGCCUUCGAUACUGAGAGUCUCGAGUCCGGGAGAGGUGAGUGGAACUGCGAGUGUAGAGGUGAAAUUCGUAGAUAUUCGCAAGAACACCAGUGGCGAAGGCGGCUCACUGGCCCGAUACUGACGCUGAGGUGCGAAAGCGUGGGGAGCAAACAGG